rnacentral:lncRNA from 1 species
GUUAGCAUGCUUGUGAUCUAGUCCCAUCUUUUAUUAGGUAAGGAGGAUCGACAAGCGAUCCUGUAGUUUCUGUCUCCCAGCCCGUAGGCAAGGGCACGCCAACAGACUUCAGGUAUCAAUGUCCGUCGUCUUGUACGGUCGUGGUCGAGUUAAGCCUAAAACUUAGAGUUUUCACCCUAAGUGACACCUCUAAGAGUGCUUAACCAAGGUAACAUUCUUUUUUCAAACACGCCUUACUCCACUCUGAAUUACCUCUCGAGAUCUAACUCAUAUUCUCUAUCUAAUCUCCCUUGUUCUCUAGCUUCGCUAGUCAGACUGGAU